rnacentral:rRNA from 1 species
GACGAACGCUGGCGGCGUGCCUAAUACAUGCCAGUUGAGCGCUGAAGGUUGGUACUUGUACCAACUGGAUGAGCAGCGAACGGGUGAGUAACGCGUGGGGAAUCUGCCUUUGAGCGGGGGACAACAUUUGGAAACGAAUGCUAAUACCGCAUAAAAACUUUAAACACAAGUUUUAAGUUUGAAAGAUGCAAUUGCAUCACUCAAAGAUGAUCCCGCGUUGUAUUAGCUAGUUGGUGAGGUAAAGGCUCACCAAGGCGAUGAUACAUAGCCGACCUGGGAGGGUGAUCGGCCACAUUGGGACUGAGACACGGCCCAAACUCCUACGGGAGGCAGCAGUAGGGAAUCUUCGGCAAUGGACGAAAGUCUGACCGAGCAACGCCGCGUGAGUGAAGAAGGUUUUCGGAUCGUAAAACUCUGUUGGUAGAGAAGAACGUUGGUGAGAGUGGAAAGCUCAUCAAGUGACGGUAACUACCCAGAAAGGGACGGCUAACUACGUG